AAUAACUAAGUAGAGGGGAAUGCUUUCAUUAGGCCUCUUUCCUCAUCUUCCAUUUCCUCUGCUAUCACAGAGCUCAGCCAGCUGCUGACAAUGGGAGAGGCUCUCAAACCAGACUGACUUGGAAAUGUGAACUAUGAGUGCAGUCGCCAAGCAGCGCAAAUAUCUUUCACCAUUUUCUUCCCUCCCUCUUUAAUUAUCCUUCCCUCCAUCUCAGUUUUCCCUUUCCCGCCAUCAGGGGUAUCUAAAAGGCCACGGCGGUCGGAUCCGAGCACCGGUCGUCCCCUGGAGUCGGUCAUCACAACUGACGGCUAUAUAAGCAUCGGAUGAGAUCCGUACCCAAACCCACGCGCUACUUACGGCACCUCCCGCGGCCCCUCUCUCUCUUUCUCUCUCAUCGCUUUCGAUUUCCGACUCCGAUUGGGAUUUAGAUUUGGAGCCGGACGUCCACGAAAUCUCCACAAAAACAUUAAAAAAGAAGAAAAAUAAAUAGAAGAACGGCCAACAGAAGGCGCGUUGUAUUCUCUCGUCCCAUCAGCCCAUCCAAAUUCUCCCCCAAAGAGUUGGAAUAGAGAAUUAGGGUUUCUUUCUUCCCUCUUUCCUCGUAAUCUCUUCAUCUUUCGUUCUUUUCUCGGAUUCGAGGUUUCUUAGGGUUUCUUUUUCUUCUCGAUCUCGUCGGGAAUUUAGGGUUCCUCCUCCAGGAUUUCGGGUCUCCUCCGCCGUUUCUGGAAGGAUGAUCUUUGAGCGGAGUUCGAGAGCCCGAAUGCCAAGCUUGAAGGCCUGCAACGCGGAGGGCGCCUCCGUUUGCGACGACGACGGGGAGGGGACGGAAGAGAGCCGCCGGAAGCGGCGGAGGGAGGAUGAUGGCUCGUUUCCGGUUAAGAUGAUCGGAGACGUCUCCACUGACGCCGGGAUGCCGUACGUUGCCGGAGGGUUCCGGCGCGGGGAGGAGCUGAGCUGUGCGGCCGUGGCGUCGUCCUGGUGCACCGAGGUCUCCUGUUCCGGCGAAGUGGAAUCGGGGUCCCGGGAUGGGGGGGAGCCGGCGGCGCGGCCGCCCAUUGUGCGGACAUCAAGGGGGAGGGUCCAGGUGCUUCCUUCCCGGUUCAGUGACUCGGUCCUCAUUGACCCCUGGAAGAAGGAGAAACCCAAGGGGCAGGCCUCGGACCCUCAUUUCCAUGAUGCGGGUGGCGUUCCUGGGGCUCAAGAACAGAGCUUGAACUAUAAAGGCGCCACAUUUGUUACUGUAGAGCCCAAUUCACUCGCAUUGCUGGGGGAGGAACAGUGCUAUCGGGCCUGCCGAAAUUUAAGUGCCAAGAAGUACUCCAGUUCUCACAGCACGCUUACAUCCCUUAAUGAAAGUCUGGUUGGAGUGGAGGAGAAAUAUCGACCUUCAGUACCUUAUGUGGAGAAGCCAAUGGUUGGUCGUAUGGAGCAAGUGGCAGUGGAAUGUAGGUCUCGAAAGGAGAGUGCUGAGCGGAAGGCGGAUGUCUACUGGCCGGAAGAUUUUGUUUUGGGUGAUAUAGUUUGGGCGAAGUCGGGGAAGAAGUACCCUGCUUGGCCUGCUAUGGUGAUUGAUCCAAUGCAGCAAGCUCCUGAAGUAGUUCUGAACUCCUGCAUUCCAGGAGCUCUCUGCGUGAUGUUUUUUGGGUACUCCGGAAAUGGAAAUGGAAAUGAAAGGGACUAUGCAUGGGUAAAACAAGGAAUGAUCUUUCCGUUUAUAGACUAUCUAGACAGGUUUCAGGGCCAAACUCAGUUGUACAAGAACAAGUCUAGCAGUUUUAGGAUGGCUAUCGAGGAGGCUUUCUUAGCUGAGCUUGGUUUCUUUGGAAUUCAGAUGGAUGGGAUGAAUACAGCUGGGCAGUCUGAUUAUAAUCAAUCUGUCCGUGGAGGUCUCCAAGAGGCCACUGAUUCGAACCAUUAUCAGGAAUGUCAACCACAGAUGCAGGCUGUAAACAAAUCAGGACCUCAUUGUGAAAGUUGUGGGUUGAGUCUUCCUUCUAAAAGUGCAAAGAAAAUGAAACAUGAUUCAGAACAAUUACUAUGUAAACAUUGUGCUAAGCUUUUAAAGUCCAAACAGUAUUGCGGUAUAUGCAAGAAAAUUUGGCAUCACACGGAUGGUGGAAAUUGGGUUUGUUGUGAUGGAUGUCAAGUUUGGGUUCAUGUAGAAUGUGACAAAACAUGCGGUAGCCUAAAGGAUCUGGAAAACACUGAUUACUUUUGCCCUGAUUGCAAGCCAAAGUAUUUUAAAUUAUCUGAUACAGUGAAAAAGCAUUCAACAAUUAGAUGUGAGAACAGCAGUUUGCAACACAGACUUCCUGAGGAGAUGAUUGUUUGUUGUUGUGGUAUUGAAGGGAUAUAUUUACCAGAGCAGCAUGUGGUUUUAUGUCAGUGUGGCUCUUGCAAGACAAAGAAGUCAACACUUUGUGAGUGGGAACGGCAUACAGGUUCUAGAAGUAAAAAUUGGAAGAUUAGUGUUAAAGUCAAAAGUACAAUGCUGCCACUGGGAAAAUGGAUAGAACAAUAUGGUGGGUCUUCUGCAAACCAUGCUAAAUGCUUACCUCCAAAAGUAAGGAAACAGAAGCUUAUAGCAUCACUGCAGGAACCAUAUGAUCCAGUGUAUGCUAAAUGGACAACAGAGCGUUGUGCAGUCUGCAGAUGGGUUGAAGAUUGGGAUUACAAUAAAAUCAUUAUCUGCAACAGAUGCCAAAUAGCUGUCCACCAGGAAUGUUAUGGAGCACGAAAUGUACAAGAUUUCACGUCUUGGGUUUGCAGGGCAUGUGAAAUGCCUCUGCAUAAAUGGGAGUGCUGUCUUUGUCCUGUAAAAGGGGGCGCUUUAAAGCCAACAGAUGUUGAUUCUUUAUGGGUCCAUGUUACAUGUGCCUGGUUUCAGCCAGAAGUUUCUUUCUCCAGUGAUGAAACCAUGGAGCCUGCUGUUGGCAUAUUGAAUAUUUCUCCACAAUCAUUUACUAAGACAUGUGUGAUAUGUAAGAAGAUGCAUGGUGCAUGCACAAAAUGCUACAAGUGUUCCACUUAUUAUCAUGCAAUGUGUGCAUCAAGAGCAGGGUAUCGCAUGGAGUUGCACUGCUUAGAAAGAAAUGGGAAACAGAUAACACAAAUGGUCUCAUAUUGCGCAUUUCACAGGGCUCCAAACCCAGAUACUGUCUUGAUUGUGCAGACACCAGCAGGUGUUUUCUCUACCAAAAAUUUGCUCCAAAAUAGUGAGAAGCAGACUGGUUCGAGACUGAUUAGGAAGGACAUCACCCAGGAUGCAGCCCUACCUACUUCACCUUCUGAAUCUUCAUCUGCUGCGAGGUGCCUGAUUUACAAAAGGAUAGACACUAAGAGAAAACAAGAGGAGGCUAUUGCCCGCCAUGUGAUGGGGCCUCGCCACCAUCCUUUGGAUGCUAUUGAAAAUUUGAAUGCACCUAGGGAAGAGAAGGAUCCUAAAUCAUUUUUGACAUUCAGGGAACGCCUUAAAUACUUGCAGUCAACUGAACACAGUAGGGUCUGCUUUGGUAAGUCUGGAAUACAUGGAUGGGGCCUCUUUGCCCGUCGGAACAUUCAGGAAGGAGAAAUGGUGGUUGAAUAUCGUGGUGAGCAGGUAAGACGCAGUGUUGCGGAUCUAAGGGAAGCACGUUAUCGGCUGGAAAAAAAGGAUUGUUAUCUUUUUAAAAUCAGUGAAGAAGUGGUGGUUGAUGCUACAGAUAAAGGAAACAUAGCACGCCUAAUUAACCACUCUGGUUUUUGGUGCAGUGCAUGCCCAACUGCUAUGCAAGAAUAAUGAGUGUUGGUGACGAUCAGAGCCGGAUUGUACUUAUCGCCAAGAGGAAUGUUUCUGCAGGCGAGGAGUUAACGUACGAUUACUUGUUUGAUCCUGAUGAAGCUGAGGAAUGCAAAGUUCCCUGCCUCUGCAAAGCUCCAAACUGUCGGAAAUAUAUGAAUUAGGCAGUUGUAUAUUACCAUUUAAUUCUUCGACAUGGAAGCCAAUAUUACCAUUUAAUUCUUUGACAUGGAAGCCAUUCUUUUGUCAUUGAGAUUUUCCACUGCUAAAGUUAGAUGAGUCUGUAUUUUAUUUCCAGAUUGUUUAAUAAAUAUCAAGCUACAUCUCGAGGUUACUGACAUUCAGAAGGGUAUCAUCACCAUUGUAAAUUGCGUACUCUAAUGUACAAACUACAGGAUUAUUGUCAAUGAAGCAUUUUCUUAGAUUUUUCCC